UCUAAAACAAAAGCUAGGCAUUUUCUGCACCUUUGAGGAUUUACCUAGCCGGGUCCUCCAGAAGACAGAGCAAUCUACCUGUCAGGUGCCAGGACUUCCUCUCUGUUUCCGGAUCACACUCCGUGACCCCAUGAGCUCCUCAGGACAGGGAUGAUGUCACCAUCAUUUUUGUGUCUUCAACUCCUCCACCUCAUAGAUUCUCAGUGAAUGUUUGCUGAAUCAGUAGCGCCAGCUUCACAUGCUUUAGAGGCAGAAGAUACAAGCUGGAAUCUCAACUCCAGCACUUAAUAGCUUUGUGAUCUUAGAUCGUCAAUGAUGAAGCAUGCAGUAAAUAACCCUCCCUCCCUGGAAGUGAAGACAGCCUGUGGGGGAGAACUGGCUCCAUUAAAGGCUUCAAGCCACAGGAGUUGUUUUCUCCGGAGAUGAUGAACGUGGGCUGGAAAAAGAGACAAGAGUCACCUACUUCGUGCAGCUUUUUCCCCCCAAACUGCUAAAA